UACGGAGGGGGCGAGCGUUAUUCGGAAUUAUUGGGCGUAAAGGGCGCGUAGGCGGCUUUCUAAGUCAAAGGUGAAAUCCCUCGGCUCAACUGAGGAACUGCCUUUGAAACUGGAAGGCUUGAGGCCGGGAGGGGGUAGCGGAAUUCCCAGUGUAGCGGUGAAAUGCGUAGAUAUUGGGAGGAACACCAGUGGCGAAGGCGGCUACCUGGACCGGUUCUGACGCUGAUGCGCGAAAGCGUGGGUAGCAAACAGG
rnacentral:rRNA from 1 species